rnacentral:rRNA from 1 species
CCACCCUUUGUUUACAUUACCUUUGUUGCUUUGGCGGGCCCGUCUCACGACCACCGGCUUCGGCUGGUCAGUGCCCGCCAGAUGACCCCAAACUCUUUUGUUAAUGUCGUCUGAGUACUAUAUAAUAGUUAAAACUUUCAACAACGGAUCUCUUGGUUCUGGCAUCGAUGAAGAACGCAGCGAAAUGCGAUAAGUAAUGUGAAUUGCAGAAUUCAGUGAAUCAUCGAAUCUUUGAACGCACAUUGCGCCCUCUGGUAUUCCGGGGGGCAUGCCUGUUCGAGCGUCAUUACAACCCUCAAGCUCUGCUUGGUAUUGGGCGUCACCGUCUCCGGCGCGCCUUAAAAUCAGUGGCGGUGCCGUCAGGCUUCAAGCGUAGUAAUUCUUCUCGCUCUGGAGUUCUGGUGUGUGCCUGCCAACAACCCCUAAUUUUAUCAAGGUUGACCUCGGAUCAGGUAGGGAUACCCGCUGAACUUAAGCAUAUCAAUAA